GCUCCAGGGGCCCAGCACAUAGUGACCACCAAGGCUGCUCUCACAGCCCCAUGCCGGGUGCUCUAGGCCAGCAAUAGAUAAGUCCAGGAAGAUGGCAGGAAGCCCUGGAGUUCUGGAAUGAAGCCACCAACUCUCUUUGCAACUUCGCUCCUGUGUCACAACGAGGGAGCGAGUUCUGAGAAGUACAUGGUGGCUGCUUUGUCUCUGUCGCACUCACACACCAUGACGGGGCCUGCUGCACCCCACGGCUGUGUGGUGUGGCCUGUGCUAUACUGAACACCGUGGGCACCCGGAUCACAAUGGGAAUGUCCCUGAAGCGACACACAUCUAAAUCUAGGACAGAGACAGAAAAAUGAGGCAUAAAGGCCUAGGGCCCUCAUCGUGGCCGCAGAACUGGGCGUUGCUCUGGGUGCUGUCAAAGCCUGACCUUCCCUUGGCUCUCUAGAACAUCGGCCCCAUGCAGUGCUCCAGACCAAAAGGAUUUGGGGUUGGCACAGCUUGAGAGCUGCUAAUGACCAUGCAAACCCUCAGAAACGCACUGGCAUUUGAAAGCCCCUGGGGAGCCCCUGGGUGCAGCCAGCACCCUGAGCCUGCUGUGCCCUGGUUUGAGACCCCUCCCCUGUGCUCUGAGGGACCAGGCCCACUGCAGGGUGCUGGCUUCCAGCAUUUGGGUGGGAAGGGAUGAAGUGGUGCUGCUCUCGGUACUAGGGAAGUGGGACAGUGUCACACAGGAAGUCCCGAGAGCCAGCCAGGGAGCUCUAGCUGCAGGAAGUAAUACACUUCACUAGCUCUCAGGCUGCCUGACCGGAAAGAGAAGGCAGAGUAGCCACACGGAGCCACAUGGGGACACAACCUGGGGACACAGAGCAGCCUUGUCUGGAGGCUGCUCCCUAGGAAGUCUGUCUUCACAGCAGCGAGCUGGAGCAAUUCUGCCCUGGGGGACCCAGGAGAACGUCCAUUGAGCAGCAAGCAGGCUCCUCCUGAAUCUUCCCUCUAGGCACUGCCAUUAGUGUGGCUCAAUUUUAGCAACUCCCAGGCUUUGCCUCUCUCCAUUCCUUCUCCCAGCUCUGGGAGAGGACAUUCCCAUUGGCCUUCGAGGACAAAGGAAGCAUCAUGAGGACAAUUUUGCUGGCCUGCCUUUUGGCUUCUGGCUCUGGGAGAGGACAAUCCAAGAGGCCUCCACCCUGGAACCAGUGACAGGCCCAGGGAUUUUCGGAGCUUGUGGCAGGAAGCUGCAGCACUUACCGGGCCAGGCUUGGAGCAAGUCAAGAAUAAGAAUCAUCUGAGGUUGAUCCUGAGGCUCCUGCACCUGACAGCUGGUCCUCCGGGAGAGGUGGGUAGCCACUGCACGUGCCCAGAGGACAAACCCAGUUCUC
rnacentral:lncRNA from 1 species